AAUUUGUAUUGUCGAGUUUAAAAAUGCUCUUCAUGGAAUGUAACUCGACAAUAUUUGCCACUUCUAUGAAUAUAUUAAAGACAAGGUUUUACUCACCAAAGUACUGUGGCCAGACUCUCACACACAUUUAUUCGCCUUUUUUAACGUUUUACUCACCAAUGCACUGUGGCUAUACUCACACAGUGGGAAAAACAAGACCAAAUACAAGUACGUUGCUUCAAGUUGAACUUAUUAUUCGAUCAAACAAAAUGAAAUUUAUGUUUGCGAUGGCUGUUAAUUCUAUCAAUUCCUUUAAAUCUUGAUGUAUUAAGUUUUCAUUAUUGUCAACAUAAACAAAAGACAGGAUUAUGCCAUUCAAUACAAGCGUAUAAGAAACGAAUUUAGAGAAUUACAUUGUUUAUACUCUUUUGCUUCCGAUACAA